GAUUAGUGGCGAACGGGUGAGUAACACGUGAGUAACCUGCCCUUAACUCUGGGAUAAGCCUUGGAAACAGGGUCUAAUACUGGAUAUUGACUUUAUCUCGCAUGGGGUUUAGUUGAAAGAUUUAUCGGUUUUGGAUGGACUCGCGGCCUAUCAGCUUGUUGGUGAGGUAAUGGCUCACCAAGGCGACGACGGGUAGCCGGCCUGAGAGGGUGACCGGCCACACUGGGACUGAGACACGGCCCAGACUCCUACGGGAGGCAGCAGUGGGGAAUAUUGCACAAUGGGCGAAAGCCUGAUGCAGCGACGCCGCGUGAGGGAUGACGGCCUUCGGGUUGUAAACCUCUUUCAGUAGGGAACAAGGCCACAUUUUGUGUGGUUGAGGGUACUUGCAGAAGAAGCGCCGGCUAACUACGUGCCAGCAGCCGCGGUAAUACGUAGGGCGCAAGCGUUAUCCGGAAUUAUUGGGCGUAAAGAGCUCGUAGGCGGUUUGUCGCGUCUGCCGUGAAAGUCCGGGGCUCAACCCCGGAUCUGCGGUGGGUACGGGCAGACUAGAGUGAUGUAGGGGAGACUGGAAUUCCUGGUGUAGCGGUGAAAUGCGCAGAUAUCAGGAGGAACACCGAUGGCGAAGGCAGGUCUCUGGGCAUUAACUGACGCUGAGGAGCGAAAGCAUGGGGAGCGAACAGGAUUAGAUACCCUGGUAGUCCAUGCCGUAAACGUUGGGCACUAGGUGUGGGGGACAUUCCACGUUUUCCGCGCCGUAGCUAACGCAUUAAGUGCCCCGCCUGGGGAGUACGGCCGCAAGGCUAAAACUCAAAGGAAUUGACGGGGGCCCGCACAAGCGGCGGAGCAUGCGGAUUAAUUCGAUGCAACGCGAAGAACCUUACCAAGGCUUGACAUGAACUGGAAACGC
rnacentral:rRNA from 1 species